AACGAACGCUGGCGGCAUGCCUAACACAUGCAAGUCGAACGAAGGCUUCGGCCUUAGUGGCGCACGGGUGCGUAACGCGUGGGAAUCUGCCCUUGGGUUCGGAAUAACAGUGAGAAAUUACUGCUAAUACCGGAUGAUGACUUCGGUCCAAAGAUUUAUCGCCCAAGGAUGAGCCCGCGUAAGAUUAGCUAGUUGGUGAGGUAAAGGCUCACCAAGGCGACGAUCUUUAGCUGGUCUGAGAGGAUGAUCAGCCACACUGGGACUGAGACACGGCCCAGACUCCUACGGGAGGCAGCAGUGGGGAAUAUUGGACAAUGGGCGAAAGCCUGAUCCAGCAAUGCCGCGUGAGUGAUGAAGGCCUUAGGGUUGUAAAGCUCUUUUACCAGGGAUGAUAAUGACAGUACCUGGAGAAUAAGCUCCGGCUAACUCCGUGCCAGCAGCCGCGGUAAUACGGAGGGAGCUAGCGUUGUUCGGAAUUACUGGGCGUAAAGCGCACGUAGGCGGCCAUUCAAGUCAGAGGUGAAAGCCCGGGGCUCAACCCCGGAACUGCCUUUGAAACUAGAUGGCUUGAAUCUUGGAGAGGCGAGUGGAAUUCCGAGUGUAGAGGUGAAAUUCGUAGAUAUUCGGAAGAACACCAGUGGCGAAGGCGACUCGCUGGACAAGUAUUGACGCUGAGGUGCGAAAGCGUGGGGAGCAAACAGG
rnacentral:rRNA from 1 species